rnacentral:misc_RNA from 1 species
UCCGGUUUGUCACCGGCAGUCUCCUUAGAGUGCCCACCAUUACGUGCUGGUAACUAAGGACAAGGGUUGCGCUCGUUACGGGACUUAACCCAACAUCUCACGACACGAGCUGACGACAGCCAUGCAGCACCUGUGUUCCCGCCAGCCGAACUGAAGGACCGCGUCUCCACGGACCACACGGGACAUGUCAAGGGCUGGUAAGGUUCUUCGCGUUGCGUCGAAUUAAGCCACAUGCUCCGCCGCUUGUGCGGGCCCCCGCCAAUUCCUUUGAGUUUUAAUCUUGCGACCGUACUCCCCAGGCGGAGUGCUUAAUGCGUUAGCGUCGACACUGCAGGGGUCAAUACCCGCAACAUCUAGUGCUCAUCGUUUACGGCGUGGACUAC